UUGACCAAAAGGCAUUGCAAAAGUCACACUGCAGAAGAAGAGCAGAAAGAAACAGGCAGUGUUUGCCUGACACAGCCUGGACUCCAGCAGGAAUUUGAUCUUUUCUUAAUAAUACCUUGUGUAAGUCUCUACAAGCUGCCAUGGGCAUCGCUUCAUCAUUGCUCACUGUAGUCCUGCUGUGCAAGGCUGCAGCUUCUUCAGCACCAGCAGAUUCAUGGCUGCUGACAGCCAUACUACCAAACACCAGCACAGGGCUGGGCACCACGUUCUUCCCUCUUCAGACUAUCUGGAAAAACAGGUUACUGGAUGUCAAACAGCUGCUCACCACUGGUUCCUCCUCUGGGCUCCAUCGAGAUUAUGAAUCUUUAAGAGUACUCUGAGCCUUCUGUACCAGCACAGCUUGUUUUUCAGCUGACAGGGCUGUCAAAUCAGCUAAACUGGAUUUCUUCUUGGCAGACCUUGAUUCUGCAGCUACUGCAUCCACUUGUGAACCGCAUUUCUAUUUACAAAUAGAUGAAAUGAUUUCUCCACUUGGAGUGUUUAUAAUAGCAAUAAUUUUGGAUUAGGUGAUUGUUCGUAUUAA